rnacentral:rRNA from 1 species
CCUACGGGAGGCAGCAGUGGGGGAUAUUGCACAAUGGGGGGAACCCUGAUGCAGCGACGCCGCGUGGGUGAAGAAGCGCCUCGGCGCGUAAAGCCCUGUCAGCAGGGAAGAAAAUGAUGGUACUUGAUGACGAAGCAGCGGCUAACUACGUGCCAGCAGCCGCGGCAAUACGCAGGGGGCAAGCGUUAUCCGGAUUUACUGGGUGUAAAGGGGGUGGAGACGGCGAUGCAAGCCAGGAGGGAAGGCCCGGGGCCCAACCCCGGGACUGCUCUUGUAACUACGUGGGGGGAGUGCAGGAGGGGCAAGCGGAAUUCCUGGUGUAGCGGUGAAAUGCGUAGAUAUCAGGAGGAACACCAGUGGCGAAGGCGGCCUGCUGGACUGCAACUGACGUUGAGGCCCGAAAGCGUGGGGAGCAAACAGGAUUAGAUACCCUGGUAGUC